UACGUAGGGUGCAAGCGUUAUCCGGAAUUAUUGGGCGUAAAGAGCUCGUAGGCGGUUUGUCGCGUCUGCUGUGAAAACCUAAGGCUCAACCUUGGGCUUGCAGUGGGUACGGGCAGACUAGAGUGCGGUAGGGGUGACUGGAAUUCCUGGUGUAGCGGUGAAAUGCGCAGAUAUCAGGAGGAACACCGAUGGCGAAGGCAGGUCUCUGGGCGAUUAACUGACGCUGGAGGAAGCGAAAGCAUGGGGAGCGAACAGG
rnacentral:rRNA from 1 species